UACGUAGGGUGCUAGCGUUGUUCGGAUUUAUUGGGCGUAAAGGGCUCGUAGGCGGCGUGUCGCGUCGGGGAGUGAAAGCCCGCUGCUUAACGGCGGGUUGGCUUCCGGUACGGGCAUCGCUGGAGUGCGGCAGGGGAGACUGGAAUUCCUGGUGUAGCGGUGGAAUGCGCAGAUAUCAGGAGGAACACCGGUGGCGAAGGCGGGUCUCUGGGCCGUUACUGACGCUGAGGAGCGAAAGCGUGGGGAGCGAACAGG
rnacentral:rRNA from 1 species